GAUUUCAAUUGAAAAAGUCAUCAACAACAAAAUUGUAUAACUCAUGAAGAUCUAAAACUUUUAUUUUUGUUAUUUCUUCAUCUGACAAAGUGCUAGUAACAUUGUUCACAAAUUUUACAUAUAUGUGUUAUAGUUUAUAAAACCAGAUAAGAGAUACGUCAAUUUUGUGAAUAAUGUUAGUAUCACUUUGUCGGAUGAAGAAAUGAUCAAAAUAAAAGUUUUGGAUCUUGAUGAGUUAUUUAACUUUGUUGUUGAUAACUUUUUCAGUUGAAAUC
rnacentral:pre_miRNA from 1 species